CGUGGGCUCCCAGCGUGGGCUCCCAGCGUGGGCUCCCAGCGUGGGGUCGUGUCUUCUGUCCCACACAAAGAAUUCUCCGAGACCCUAAAAGCUUGAAAACAGGGUCGGGUGUCUUUUUUGGCCCCGAAGAUGUCCGUGAAGGUUGGUUGUGUCGCCCCUGCGCCGUGGAACACCUGCGGGGGGGGGGGGGGGCAUCUGUCACCCACCAGGUAGCUCGGCGGCCGCGGGCAUCGAAGGUACCUACAAGGGCCAAAGCCAGCGGACGACCUGGAGAGCAAAGAAACACAAGUAUUUCUAAGCAGAGUGAUUGUCCUCAGAAGAUAGUGGCUCCCCGUCUGCCCGAUGACCGGAUAGCAGCAAAAGGAAGUCAAGCGCUGAGUUUCCUUCAUGCCGAGGAUGACCAACUUGUGCUAGCUCGCCCGUGACUCUCCCAGCUCUGAGGCUGAAAGUCCUGCGUCCUGGGAACCCGCUCAGUCCUGGCAAACCGGGAUGGUUGGUCACCCUGUUUUUGCCUCUGACGAGGGGUGCACAGUCCCCAGGGAAUGGGGCUUCCUCAAGAGGCUCACUGAGAAGAAUUUCCUCCGGGGCCUUACAGGCUGCGUGCCAGUAUUUGCCAAAUGAAGCAAGAGGCUCCCACCAGCGUGGCAGGUGACAGAGCCUAGCUGGGCUGCACCAAGAAAGAGCAUCUUGACAGCAGCACCUCCCCCCACUCCCUCAGGCCUACUGGGGUCUGCGUGGCGCAUUGGUGGGAGCCACGCGUGGCAUCCCAUGGACCUUUUUCUGGAGAGUGUGCAAAGUUCAUGACAUCCCUUCCC